AAGUUGCAAAAACUGGUCCUUUUUUCCCAUGGAUUUCAACUCUUUCUCUCUUUUCUUUCUCUUCUUUCUCUUGUUUCUCUUCUUGUUUCUCUUUUACGAAUAAUUCUUCGUAAAUAGAGAGGGGAAGAUCUAU
rnacentral:ribozyme from 13 species